rnacentral:rRNA from 1 species
GACGAACGCUGGCGGCGUGCUUAACACAUGCAAGUCGAACGGAAAGGCCCUGCUUUUGUGGGGUGCUCGAGUGGCGAACGGGUGAGUAACACGUGAGUAACCUGCCCUUGACUUUGGGAUAACUUCAGGAAACUGGGGCUAAUACCGGAUAGGAGCUCCUGCUGCAUGGUGGGGGUUGGAAAGUUUCGGCGGUUGGGGAUGGACUCGCGGCUUAUCAGCUUGUUGGUGGGGUAGUGGCUUACCAAGGCUUUGACGGGUAGCCGGCCUGAGAGGGUGACCGGCCACAUUGGGACUGGGAUACGGCCCAGACUCCUACGGGAGGCAGCAGUGGGGAAUAUUGCACAAUGGGCGGAAGCCGGAUGCAGCAACGCCGCGUGCGGAUGACGGCCUUCGGGUUGUAAACCGCUUUCGCCUGUGACGAAGCGUGAGUGACGGUAAUGGGUAAAGAAGCACCGGCUAACUACGUG